CUACGCUGAUCAUACCAGCUCUAAUGCACCGGAUCCCAUCAGAACUCCGCAGUUAAGCGUGCUUGGGUAAGAGUAGUACUAGGAUGGGUGACCUGUUGGGAAAUUCUCGUGUUGCAUUUC
rnacentral:rRNA from 1 species